GUGGAUUAGUGGCGAACGGGUGAGUAACACNUGGGCAAUCUGCCCUGCACUCUGGGACAAGCCCUGGAAACGGGGUCUAAUACCGGAUGAUACUUUUUCCUGCAUGGGGAAGGGUUGAAAGCUCCGGCNGUGCAGGAUGAGCCCGCGGCCUAUCAGCUUGUUGGUGGGGUGAUGGCCUACCAAGGCGACNACGGGUAGCCGGCCUGAGAGGGCGACCGGCCACACUGGGACUGAGACACGGCCCAGACUCCUACGGGAGGCAGCAGUGGGGAAUAUUGCACAAUGGGCGAAAGCCUGAUGCAGCGACGCCGCGUGAGGGAUGACGGCCUUCGGGUUGUAAACCUCUUUCAGCAGGGAAGAAGCGAAAGUGACGGUACCUGCAGAAGAAGCGCCGGCUAACUACUUGCCAGCAGCCGCGGUAAUACGUAGGGCGCAANCGUUGUCCGGAAUUAUUGGGCGUAAAGAGCUCGUAGGCGGUUUGUCACGNCGGUUGUGAAAGCCCGGGGCUUAACUCCGGGUCUGCAGUCAAUACGGGCAGACUAGAGUGUGGUAGGGGAGAUCCCGAAUUCCUGGUGUAGCGGUGAAAUGCGCAGAUAUCAGGAGGAACACCGGUGGCGAAGGCNGAUCUCUGGGCCAUUACUGACG
rnacentral:rRNA from 2 species